GAGUUUGAUCCUGGCUCAGGAUGAACGCUAGCUACAGGCUUAACACAUGCAAGUCGAGGGGAAACGAUAUUGGAAGCUUGCUUCCGAUAGGCGUCGACCGGCGCACGGGUGAGUAACGCGUAUCCAACCUGCCCAUCACUUGGGGAUAACCUUGCGAAAGUAAGACUAAUACCCAAUGAUAUCUCUAGAAGACAUCUGAAGGAGAUUAAAGAUUUAUCGGUGAUGGAUGGGGAUGCGUCUGAUUAGCUUGUUGGCGGGGUAACGGCCCACCAAGGCGACGAUCAGUAGGGGUUCUGAGAGGAAGGUCCCCCACAUUGGAACUGAGACACGGUCCAAACUCCUACGGGAGGCAGCAGUGAGGAAUAUUGGUCAAUGGGCGAGAGCCUGAACCAGCCAAGUAGCGUGCAGGAUGACGGCCCUAUGGGUUGUAAACUGCUUUUAUAAGGGAAUAAAGUGAGUCUCGUGAGACUUUUUGCAUGUACCUUAUGAAUAAGGACCGGCUAAUUCCGUGCCAGCAGCCGCGGUAAUACGGAAGGUCCGGGCGUUAUCCGGAUUUAUUGGGUUUAAAGGGAGCGUAGGCCGGAGAUUAAGCGUGUUGUGAAAUGUAGGUGCUCAACAUCUGCACUGCAGCGCGAACUGGUUUCCUUGAGUACGCACAAAGUGGGCGGAAUUCGUGGUGUAGCGGUGAAAUGCUUAGAUAUCACGAAGAACUCCGAUUGCGAAGGCAGCUCACUGGAGCGCAACUGACGCUGAAGCUCGAAAGUGCGGGUAUCGAACAGGAUUAGAUACCCUGGUAGUCCGCACGGUAAACGAUGGAUGCCCGCUGUUGGUCUGAAUAGGUCAGCGGCCAAGCGAAAGCAUUAAGCAUCCCACCUGGGGAGUACGCCGGCAACGGUGAAACUCAAAGGAAUUGACGGAAGGGCGAAUUCCAG
rnacentral:rRNA from 1 species